UCCAGCCGUGGUCAGACGCGAACCUGAACGUCGUGAGCCACUCCUUCUAGAGAAAGAGCAUGAGCAGAUUGCUCUAUCAGAGUUGCCAUGCCAGACUUGGGGAGAGCUGUUCCCAGCCCGAGAGCAGCUGGAGCAGCUCAGGCAGCAGGUGGAAGAGCCACAAGAGAAUGGCCAGAACAUCAAGGCAGAGCCACAAGCAGAGCUGCCCGAAGCCCAGAGUGACAUCAAGGCAGCGAAGAG